rnacentral:lncRNA from 1 species
GAAUCUAGUUAUCUCCUGUGGUUUUGACUAGCAUAGAGACGUUGUGAUGGCAUUUCAUGCUAAUACCCAGCUGAUUUCCCCAGCUUCCUUUUAUCAGAGUAAGCAGAGAUGCAUUUUCCUUCCUUGGAAACUCCCUGCACGACAUUCAUUGAGAAUUCAACUUUCUGUUCUUUGUGUCCUCUUUUCAGCAGGCUGUUCCUAACAUCCUGCAGGAGGGAGAGCAGAAAAAAAAAAUGGAGUAAAUGGGGCAGAGACCUGAGGUCUUAGUGUUGCCACAUGUGGAAAUGAAGUAUGUAUAUGCAAGGUCAGGUCAAGAGAGCGUGAUUCAAGGAAGAAGGAGGUUAGCUAGAAGCAAAAUGCAGGAGAGUUACAGAAGCAAUCUCCUUCCCAUCAAAAGGAGAUGAUGGGAAGAUCCAGCUAAGGCUGCUUACCUGACUGAAGUGUUCCUCAAACACGAUACUGUCUUUGUUGGUAUGCAUGAUGGGAGAUGAAAUGGCACGUUCCAAGUCAUAACCAAACCACAGCUUGUUUAUAAUGGCCUGCAAUGAAACAAAUGGCAUGCUAACUGAAGAUAUUGAGUAAGAACCUGAACCACUUGUUGUCUUCCUCAGCACUGGUGUAAACCCUGACCAAAUCCUGCCAAUGGGAUUGUGCAAGGCUGGACUAUAAGAAGUCACUCUAGCCUAAGCAUCCUUUCACGGCAGCCAACAGGAGAUGUCCAGAGCAAAACAGGGUUGAGAAUGCUCACCGGCGCGAAUACUACUCUUUCCUGUGCAGAAAUCAGCAAGUUCAUUAUUCAAAAUGAUCCCAGUCUGGUUGGAAUAAACGAAGGAGCCAAACCUGCAGGGAGGAAGAAAACAUCCUUUAAGUAACCAGUGCUCUUCCACUGUGGAUGAUAUUAGCUUUAAUGUAGGACUCUGCUGGGUCACCCCUGCCUUCUGCCAACCUGCAGCCACUCCAGAAGAGGUUCCCAAAAGGUUUUUACUUUGCUGUGCUGGAGUCAGAAAUAAGCUUUCUGUAACAAGUGCAUGUGGGGAUUUGCUCAACCCACAGAACUUCAGCAGAGCUCUGGUAGUUAUUACAUGUUUGUGAACUGUGGUGUUCCUCUGGGCUGAUUCUCAAAGGCUAUCACAUGAAAAAAAGCCUUCACAAGAGGCUAAAUC